rnacentral:lncRNA from 1 species
UUUUUUUUUUUCCUCAGAAAACACAAGACAAGGACACUUAAAUUCAAAUCAACACUUAACAGCUUUUUACAUUAUUUGUAGAUAACCGUUGGGACUUAGUGCCACGGGAUACAAUAUUAGAAACAGUUUUGUGGGAAUAAAAGUCACCAGUCUGAUGCAGGCCCAGAGUCCAGGGGCUCAUCGGAAGUUGCUGGUCUUGACUGGGUGGAGAGUUGGAUGGUCAGAAUUUCAGGAAAUAGAUGGUGGUAUCCAGUGAGUUUAUAAGGUUGUCCUCCCAAAGGCCCAGAGCACAAGAAUGCUGUACAUAAAUCCUUAGACGAUGCUAAAGACACAUGUCCAGGGUGCAUGGAUAAUGACCUAAUUCACAGUUUCAGAAGUACCAGUGGCACGGCACGAAUUUCCCUUCCUACCCCGCACCCAGCCCGUCAAGUCUCUGCCUUGAGGCGAGCAGCCUGGAUGGUUUUUAUGGUUUUUGCUGUAGGUUUCCCAGCCGGGUUGAUUGUAGAUAGCUGAGACUUUUCUUCAAUCAAGCUGUCUUUAGACCCAUUUCUCCUCUAGGAAAAAAAAAAAAAAAAACUCAUAGCAGUCAUAAGAAAAUAACCAAAUCAAGUACUUAGAAAUAACAGAAGCUGGGCAUAGAGGGACACACUUGUUACCCCAGGAAGAGCCAAUCCAGCCUGAGCUACAUGGUGUGACCACCCUAAAAUGUAUUCAUUUAUGACACUGCAUGUGGUAAUUACUCGGAGAAAACUAAUACUGUGUGAGAGCCCUCUAGUUAACUGCAAAACCAAAUGUGCCUAAUCUUGGCCUGAUAAUUGGGUACACAUCAGUUCUCAUAAAAAUUGGACAUAAUUUACCUUCAUAGCAUUACUUAAGAGACUUUCCUUAAGGCUUUUUCUUCUAAAGACCAGAGAGGAAACUAAACGCCUCCCCUGGUUUUAUUCUGGGGAGCCACCCUAUGAAAUGGUUCAUGUGCAGUGUGAUAGCAUGGAGUUUCUGUCAUCUGGGACAUGUCACUGCCUACCUGACCUGUACACCAGGAGUCCUGGAGUUGGGACUUGUCUGAUGGAAACACUGAGAACACCACCCACAGGGCCUCACAACAGCUGCCCAGACCUCCCAGGGAUGACCGAGGUUGCUAUGGCUUCAUAUGUAUAAACAUAUCUGAGAAUAAGGACUUGCUACUGCAUCCAAAGGGAUUCCUGUAAGCACAAGAUGUUUCUAAAAAGUCUCAUAGGCUACUUACCUAUGGCACACACCUUUGACCCCAGCACGAGGGAGGCAGAGGCAGACAGAUUCUGUGAGUUCAGGAUCUGCCUGAUCAACAACAAAGGGGAAGGUUCCAGGCCAGACAGGCUUACAAAGUGAGACCCUACCUCACUAAAAAUUAACUUUUUUUUUUUUUAAUGGCAUCUGUUGGGCUGGCAAGAUGGCUCAGUGGGCAAAAGCCUUGUAGCUCGUUCCUCACUACCUGAGUUCAAACCCCAGAGCCCAUGUAAAACAGUCCUGAAAACAGUUCUCAGACCACACAGGCCAUGCCCAUACAUGACGCACACGCAUGAUCAAUAAGAUGCCUUAAACCUUUACUAACCUGAUGAACUGUCGAGCCUCCAGACCCCUGAGCAUCUGAGGAACGGGUGACCGGAAGUGGUGGUACAAGAUCUGUCUUUGAGCUGCCAAAGAGAAAAGGUCAGAGUUUAUGAACAAGACAGAACUCAGGUCUUAUGCGCCUCUGGGGCAGGCUGUGUGGUCUGGGGGCACAGGACCGACUCACUUCACUUCCGAGAGAACGGAUCGUUCUCCGUCUGAACACUGGGAUCUUCGGUACUGCCGGUAACUCCGCGGGGAAUGAGAAUGCCGGAUGCGGACCGGGUCACCCUGAGUCCUGCGAGGAAGCCAGACAAAGCAAGGAGACAAACACAGUCAAAACCGCACCACGAUACGCAGUUUUCCUGAUGCUAAACUGUAAGCAAAACUUUCAGACUGCUUUUAACUUGACUCUCAGGUUUACUUUGUAAGGUGUCUUUUUGUUUUUAUACAGGGUCUCGUGAAGUCCAGGCUGGCUUCAGACUGAAGAUGACUUAAAACUCCUGACCCUCAAGUUCCACAUCGCACACUGAAUUAAAAGCAUGUUCCUCCGCACCUAGCUCAGACGGGGUUGGGUUGUUUUUUUUGUUUGUUUGUUUGUUUUUUUUGGGGGGGGGUGUUUUUGUUUGUUUGUUUUUGUUUUGUUUUUAAGAACUUAAUUUUUAUGAUCUCUGAAAGCAGUAAAUUUCACAGCAUUUU